GCGUGGAUGAAGAAGGCCCUAGGGUUGUAAAAUCCUUUCGUUGGCGAAGAUAAUGACGGUAGCCAAAGAAGAAGCCCCGGCUAAUUUCGUGCCAGCAGCCGCGGUAAUACGAAAGGGGCAAGCGUUGUUCGGAAUUACUGGGCGUAAAGCGCACGUAGGCGGCCAUGUAAGUUGGGGGUGAAAUCCCGGGGCUCAACCCCGGAACUGCCUUCAAAACUACAUGGCUCGAGGAUGCGAGAGGAUAGUGGAAUUCCGAGUGUAGAGGUGAAAUUCGU
rnacentral:rRNA from 1 species